CGGAUGACGGAACUCGGCUUCGAAGGAAAGAAAUGUUCACUUUGUGUCAAGAUAAACGACCAAUCUGCAGGUAAUAAAAGAGGCGCCUUUGGUAAAGAUGAAGACAAGAAUGAAGGAAACGCAGCACGGAUGUACUUGCGGCAUAGACCGAAAUUUUACAUGUUGGAGAAUAUUUUCAGUUCUCCUGAUGUUCCUGUACACAGUAACUGAAUGUGCAGAGACAGACUGCGGACAGACGUACCUACAAAGAUCAAGCGGUAAUAUUACGAGCCCCAACUACCCCCGCAACUACCCUGACGAUGCUGCCUGCAAGUGGCACAUCUCGCUGGCCAGUACGGAGAUCAUCACCGUCAGAUUCAUCUCUUUUAACACCAUUGCGACUAAGAACUGCAAUAUUGGGGGCAAGUUGACAAUUGAUGUAGGUGACAUCGAAGUGCCUUACUGCGGUUCAACGUUACCCGAUCCUUACAUCUCAGUGCCAGGGCCCACGCAGGCCAUCAUCAAGUUCACGAGCACCACCAUGGUCUCCUCAAGCGGCUUCAUGAUCGAAUAUUUUAAAGGAGAGAGUUCGACCAGCUCUUGCCCCCGCAACCAGUUUCGCUGUGGAGUCGGCAAUUGCAUACCGCAAUGGUGGGUCUGUGAUGACAUGUAUGAAUGCAGCGACAACUCGGAUGAGGCCAACUGCAUAAACGUGCAUACGACACCAUCGCUGCAGUGUCCUUCCCACACGUUUCUCUGCCAUCAACUAUCAGACAACAUGCAAGCUUGCCUGCCAGAGUCGCUCAAGUGUGAUGGCCACCAAGACUGCGUGAAUAACGAUGACGAAACGGCCUGCCAGUCGGUCUGCAAUCAUGUCCUGAAAGGAACCAAUGGUAAUUUUGAAUCGCCCAAUUUCCCCGACGGGUAUGACCCAAAUCUGGACUGUCUCUGGCUCCUGACGGUUGAUGAGGGCGCAAUUAUCCAACUUCGCUUUUACGAGUUUGAUCUGGAGACAAAGGUCAACACAGAUUAUGUCAAGGUGUACGACGGUUUGGAGGCAACGGAUAAUUAUAUAGACACCUAUUACGGCGCCAAAGGUGUAAAAGACAACAAGGAUACCCACAUUCCACCUACGGUGAUAGAGGGCACAGGGAACACGCUAAGAGUUAGCCUGGUAACCGAUGCCAAGGUGUCUGCGAGCGGAUUUAAUGCCACCUACCAGAUUAAAGGUCGAUGCUUAGAAGGCCAAACGUCGUGCGGGCCUGGUGACAAUAACUGCUACGAUGACAAGCUGGAGCGUUGCGAUAACCACCUUACCUGCAUGAGAGGCCAAGACGAGCUUAACUGCCAUGCUUCCUGUGGCAAGGACCGCAUCUUCUGCUUCGAAACUCUUAAGGGUUGCUUCACCCAAGAGCAGCGCUGUAACGGCAAGCAGGACUGCAUUAAAGGAGAGGACGAGAAGGAUUGCGACUCCUCGCUGUGCAACUCUCGGGCUGGCCUCUUCCGCUGCGGGGACGGCAUCUGUAUAGAGGAGAGGUUCACCUGUAAUUCGGCUAGUGAUUGCAAAAAUGGGGACGAUGAAGAAAACUGCUAUCCGUCCACAAAUGUCGUCACAGCUGCUGCUGUCGGCUCCAUCGUGUGCGGCCUGCUGCUGGUGGCAGCCUUGAGCUGCACCUGUAAGCUUUACCAGCUUCAUGUCCGGGAGCGUCUCCCUCCCUCCCACAUGUCACCCCUUCGUGAGAUUGAGGAGGAGCUGUUGCGUCGUGAGGCCCCUCCAUCAUACACAGCCACCAUGGCAUCACCGCAUUUUGACGAGGCGCAGAGAGCCUUCAUUGAAGGCAUCCAGGCUGCUGUGAUUGCCCGAAAUGAGUCUAGAGGUCCUAGCAGGAGUAGCGGUAGUGGAAGGAGACAGCGCAGCACGUUUGUGCGCAUGCUGUCCAGAGAUCGCCCCAGAAGUGGCAGCGGCAGUGGUGACCAGCAGCAAAUUGAACAGGAAGACAGCACUACUCCCAGCCAGAGCGAAACACUUCCUCCCAGUCCGGAUGGUGAGCCUACAACUCCUCCUGAAGAGAUUACUGUUGGUGACAACACCCCACCACCUCUACGUCGCAUCUCAGGGGAACUUAGUUGCCCCACAGUAAGUCCCAGUCCAGCCGAAGCCAUCCCGCAGUCUAGUGGAGCGCAAGAGCGGGAGUCGGCCUCGAGCUCCGUUUCGGACACGGACUCGGAGACGAAUCAAGACGCCUUGCACUUGGCGACACGAGACCAGCAGAUCCUGCGGGCAGCUGCCAACAUCCGACGAAUGCGCCUGGCCGGUGGCCUACAGAAUGUCUUGCAAGCACAGGACCACCGAGCAGCCAGGGCUCGCAGCAGGACUGGGAGUCUAGUGGAUACAGCCUCCACUAAUUCAGAACCAGAGAACGACCCUGGCACGCCAACCUCCGAAAGAGGUCCUGAGUUGGUGGCAGAAGCGGGAUCACCCAACGAGAACACCAACAACAGGACUGACACUACAGAUGAGGGCUUGACUACAGAAGAGGGCUUGACUUCAGAAACCCCACAGGAUACCACAGAUGAGAGUCCCGAAUCUUCAGCAGCUCAAGCAAAAGACAGAUCAACUCCUACAUCCGAUAGAGCCCAGUCACCUUCAGGAGAUGCAACCCCUGAUGAUAAAAUCGACACCGAGGAGGAAGAGGCAGUAGACAAGGACUCAAAUGAAGAGAGACUUAGCCAGGCGUCAUCCAUUCUCUCCUUACAGUCCUGCAGCUCCGAGCAUACAGCUGAUGAUGUGCCUCUGUUAAACCCUGAAUAAUAUAUGCAACGUCUAUGCAAAUCAAAUAGGUUGUUUUUCUAGGGAAACUGUCUUUGGCAGGGAAUCUGAUAGAGAAGACUCCCCUUUUUCAGUGCACAAUCCUGAUUGAAUCACAAGCAAUUGGACAAUGUAUCACCUACACGUACUGAAAAGAUGGCUAAUGCUUUCAGUGUCGACAAUUUCUUACAUUGACUUCCGUUGUAUAAUUACUUACCUGCAUAUUGUAUAAAUGAUUACUCAGUUGAACAGAAUCUGUGGGCAUACGUCAUUGUAUUCAGCCAAGUUUGUAUAUUGUAUACUUAUGCAUAUUCAAAUGUUAUCAAUGAACAGUACUUAAUGAGCUGGUUUGUGAUUGGCCCAAUGUACCAACCAAUGGCUGCCAAUUUUAGUACACGAUUGAAGUGUAGCAAUGCUGGCGACUAUAUGUAUUACACACUUUUAUAAUUGCAAAGGGGGAAAUAUCACCCUCUUAAGUAAUGCGGAUAAAAAGGUACUGGUACUCAGAUUAAAAAAAAUAGUAAUCUUUUCUUAUUUUCCCUUAAAUUUAUCUCGGAUUUUUGUUAAAAACUGUGAUAUUGGUAUUAUUAAUAACAUGAGUAAACAGUGCAUCUGAUUUCUAACACGUACACAAAAUAAAAUCAACGAUUUGUAACAUUUCAAAGGCAUUUAUACCAUUCAUAUGUACAUACACCGGUGCCGUUAUAUAUCACACAAAAGUAACUAUUAUUUUACUUCUUUUUUUUCAUUUUGACACUUAAAAAUUACAAAUGUAUUAUACAUGUAGUACAAAUUAUCAAUGAAAAUAGCUGUAUUCAUUUUUUCCCCCUAGAGAAUUGGUUCCACAUGCCGAGGCUAUUAAAUAAAAAAAUUAACACACGUACUGCAACUUUCCAGAUGUUACAAACCAAUGCACAUGUUUAUGUGUGCAGUGGAACUUCGCUAUAACGAACAUCAACGGGAUCCACAGAAAUUGUAGGUAAUAGCCAGCGUUCAGUAUAGCGAUUUUAAGCUGCCGGUGCUCUGGUACUCAACUUUUCAAUAAAAAGCACCCUUCAGAACAUCACCCUGCACGCCCUGGUAGUUACUGAAAGAUGACUUUGAACAUGUGCCGACUAUUGAUGUUACCCAGUUUCUGAGCUUACUACCUAGAGCAUUCUCUCCCCUUCUAUUCCUUGGGGAAAUAAUAGCCACUUGUCGCUCAUCUGUUGAAAUUUGUCAACAACAAUGUUCAGUACAUUUUGUACACGAAAAUCGGGAGCCAAGGAUGAUGUUCAGUAUAGUCGAAUGUUCGGUAUAGCGGUGUUCGGUAUAGUGACAUUCCACUGUAUUACAGGGGUUUGAAAUCUCAGCUUUCAAGUUGAUUUGAGCUUUUUUUGUUGUUUUGGAUUUCAGCUUUUUCCCCUCACUUGCUGUGUACAGAAGUAUAGGAGAUUUCCAAAGUUCAGCUUUUUUACACCUGAAAUUUUUCAGCUGUUUUCAGCUAUUUUUUAUCAGUGGUCACUCACACCCCUUGUAAUAAAAAUUGACAUCGCGGGGAAAAUGAAAAAGUACAUGUAAUUAUGAGUUCAUCCCUUUUUGGUCUUUCCAUUUUCCUGUAGAUUCAAAGUCUAAAAAAAUGUGAAAAAAAACUGAAUGCCCAUACAUUACAUGCAUUGUUUUCAGCUUGAAAGGUUUUAGAUGUUUUAUAUCCAUCUGAAUUUGACUUCAGGUGCAAUUAGAAUUUUUUUUAAUGGUUAUUGGGUACAUGUAAAAGUGCAUUGUAAUGUGUAAAAGAUGAAUAUCAGCUGUAAAAUCAGAACUUAAAACAUUCUGUUGGGCAGACAGUGGUGUAAAUAUAUAUAAUUUUUUACUUGAAAAUGUGUUAGGCAUUGUACACAGAAAAGAAACUAUUCUAUAGAUAUCAUACUGUAUGUUUUUAUUAAUUACGUUCUAUACAAUGUAUAAGUUCCAACACUUGCAAGUAUUACCCUUUGUAAAAUAAUGCACUUAUUAUCACCGGAGACAAGAUCUAGGACAAAUCAUAUUAUCAUAAGAAUGCUGCAAGAUAAAUUUAGAGUGGAUUUAAAAAAAACCUAUUCCUACAGUGCACUUUACACAGGACAAAUACAUGUACACGUACCAGUUGGCUGUGUCAAUGUGCAUUUUUGUGUCGCCCAAACAAAGUUUUGGGAGACACCAUAGUCCCGUAUGGCCAUAGCCCCGUAUACUAGCCAUAAUAUGUUCAAGUUUACGUUCUGUUUUGGAAAAAAUAAUUUAUAACUUCUACAUGCUUUCAUGGAUUUUGACGAAACAUGGAUGCAGUGACCCUUGGGUGGAAAGACACAAUUCUUCAUCGGAUUACUGAGGUCAAAGGUCAUCUGGGGUCAUUUGAAGUCGUUGAAAAAUGUACAAAACUUGACUUUUUUUAAGAACACAAAACAUUGGAAUCGACCGCGGAAAAAGGCGACACAUGCGGUCCGCGGACCACUUGUUUUGCACGCACUCGUAUUUCAGUCAAGGUUUUGUCUAAUUACAAAACACUAUGGUUGCACACGUUCCAUCCACUGCAUGUAUUUGGUUAACAUUAAAAAAAAGGUUGCUGUAGUAUUUGAAGAAAAAAAAGAAGACAUGAAAUCCUGCCUGAAUUUGAAACCGUAAAAGAUUUUAAAAUGACGUAAAACUACUUUUUUUUUCAAAUGUAAAACUAAAAUUAAUAUUUUUAAAAAUUUAAUACACAAACGAUUUUACAAGAUAAGUUAAAGUAGCUAUUUACAGGAAAAAAACAUGGUUGAAACGAACUACGCAGAGUUAGUGGAUGUAUUAAAAUGUCAAGUUAUGUUGUAACAUCCAACAUUACAUCACAUUAUUGAGGCCACUCGCCACUGUACACAAGCUUGCUUUAGUAGCCCACAACAGCCAGCAACCCCCACUCCUAGAAACAAAGUGUGUCGACCAUCAUAAUUUCAAGUUUACUGAAGAUGCCCCCAAAAAAGCUUUAAAUGUCGGGAACCGACAAAAUUCGUUUAUUUCAGAUUUGCUGCCAUGAUAUUAAACAGCACUAGUGGUGUCACGAGGAAAAAGAUUUAUAUUAUGUGAAAAUAUAUAUAAUGCUUGUACAUUUACUUUUGAAGCGUACUUUUGUAUUAAAUAUAUAUUUGGUACAAACCAAAAUGGUGUAUAGAAUUCUGUGUGAAGAGAUUGGAAUAAAUGAAAGAUAUAGAUGCAAAAUAA